rnacentral:lncRNA from 1 species
GACAAGAACCUGGCACCGUUCGACGUGCAGACACAGCUCCUCUUCGACAACGCCUACUACCGCAACCUGGUCGCUAAGCGCGGCUUGCUGAACUCCGACCAGGUGCUCUUCAACGGCGGCUCCCAGGACGCGCUAGUGCGCCAGUACGUCGCUAACCCGGCGCUCUUCGCCUCCGACUUUGUGACGGCGAUGAUCAAGAUGGGUAACAUCAACCCGCUCACGGGAACCGCCGGCCAGAUUAGGCGCAACUGCAGGGUCGUCAACAGCUGAUCCGUCCAUCGUCUCGCCAUAUGUGUUACAAAUAUAUAGGCGUAAAAUGUGUAUGUAAAGUUAGGUUGGCUACGUACCAACCAGCUAGCAUGCAUGGCAGAAUAAGAGCCGUUUGGUUCAGAUAAUGCCUGGGGGCUGGGAUCCAUAGGUAAGUAACCCUCAAGCUCCAGGGUUGUUAGGUACCUGCUUCAUCAUGUAAGUCGCUCCGACGUAUGCAUGCAGUGCUAUAAAAGAAACCAAGCAUGGAGUGAGAUUUGCGACAAAACUGUGAGAGAAAACAAAUGUGAAGAGAGAUUUUUUUCGAUCUUUCUUUUCUUCCAGUUUACCCUUUGGUUUAAUUUUACUCGCUAAUUGCCCAUACGUUGCAAAGGGGUAUACAUAUUUU